UACGUAGGGUGCAAGCGUUAUCCGGAAUUAUUGGGCGUAAAGAGCUCGUAGGCGGUCUGUCGCGUCUGCUGUGAAAACUCGGGGCUUAACCCCGGGCCUGCAGUGGGUACGGGCAGACUAGAGUGCGGUAGGGGAGACUGGAAUUCCUGGUGUAGCGGUGAAAUGCGCAGAUAUCAGGAGGAACACCGGUGGCGAAGGCGGGUCUCUGGGCCGAUACUGACGCUGAGGAGCGAAAGCGUGGGGAGCGAACAGG
rnacentral:rRNA from 1 species